UAAGUUACUCGAUGAAACUAUGGCGCAAGGAGUCAUUUAGUCGUCUUAUUUCGUACCGAUAACAUGGAUCGCAUUGCGUCAGGUUUGUAACGUAUUGGCGGCGUCGGUUUUAAUUACUCCAAUAAUUUAAUCCAAUUAAAUAAUCACACACGAAAGUAAUAAAUUUUUAUCAAACAAUUUUGUACGCGACAUUAGAGUUCUUGUUCACCGAUUAUAAUUUUAGCGGUCGCGGUAAUGUGAUCUUAUUUUAUAUUCUUUUGAACAUUCUUUUUUGGUAUUAGAGUCAAUGCAUCUCUCAAGAGAACAAGGCUUCUGCAGGAGCUCAAGAAUACAUGUCACUGCUUCAACUUCUUCUUCAUCUUUAGGAGUGUUCUAACAGUGGCUCAAAAGCCAGGUAUUUAUUUUUACAUACUUACUUUCAGUUAUGUCUAUUCUGUAUAUAUUUCUUUGAUCGCUAUGUAUGAAGAAAUACGAUUUGAUUGAAAAUUUGGGAGGAUAGCAUUUUCUGAGAUUAUUCUUUCAUUAAUGUAAAAUAAGUGUUAAAAUCUUAAUACCGAAUUAUAAAACAAAUGACUAACAUACUUCAGAUUAUUUUAGAUUUUACACUUUCCUAUUAGAGUUUCAGUUUUUAUACUUAUCAAAGUUUAUUAGAAUUUCAAUCUUUAUUAUUGCUAAAGCUACUAAAGUUAAUAAACCUUCAUUUUUCAUUAUCUCCAACUUUU